rnacentral:rRNA from 1 species
AACGAACGCUGGCGGCGUGCUUAAGACAUGCAAGUCGAACGGUAAGGCCCCCUUCGGGGGGUACACGAGUGGCGCACGGGUGAGUAACACGUGGGUAAUCUACCUUCGGGUCUGGGACAACUCCGGGAAACUGGAGCUAAUACCGGAUGAGACCACGAGGUCCUCGGACUUCGCGGGAAAAGAUGGCCUCUCCUUGGAAGCUAUCGCCCGUAGAUGAGCCCGCGCCCCAUUAGCUAGUUGGUGAGGUAACGGCUCACCAAGGCAACGAUGGGUAGCUGGUCUGAGAGGAUGAUCAGCCACACUGGAACUGACACACGGUCCAGACUCCUACGGGAGGCAG